AAUGAACGCUGGCGGCAUGCCUAACACAUGCAAGUCGAACGAGACCUUCGGGUCUAGUGGCGCACGGGUGCGUAACACGUGGGAAUUUGCCUCGGGGUAUGGAAUAACUCAGGGAAACUUGAGCUAAUACCAUAUAAUGUCUUCGGACCAAAGAUUUAUCGCCCUGAGAUAAGCCCGCGUAGGAUUAGCUAGUUGGUGGGUAAAGGCUCACCAAGGCGACGAUCCUUAGCUGGUCUGAGAGGAUGAUCAGCCACACUGGGACUGAGACACGGCCCAGACUCCUACGGGAGGCAGCAGUGGGGAAUAUUGGACAAUGGGGCGAAAAGCCUGAUCCAGCCAUGCCGCGUGUGUGAAGAAGGUCUUCGGAUGUAAAGCACUUUAAGUUGGGAGGAAGGGUAGUAACCUAAUAACGUUGCUACUUUGACGUUACCGACAGAAUAAGACACCGGCUAACUUCGUGCCAGCAGCCGCGGUAAUGUGACUACU
rnacentral:rRNA from 1 species